rnacentral:rRNA from 1 species
AUUCGCCCUUAGAGUUUGAUCCUGGCUCAGGAUGAACGCUGGCGGCGUGCCUAACACAUGCAAGUCGAACGGGGUAUAUAAGCGGAAGUUUACGGAUGGAAGGUUAUAUACUUAGUGGCGGACGGGUGAGUAACGCGUGGGCAACCUGCCCCGUGCCGGGGGAUACCGCCUGGAAACAGGCGCUAAUACCGCAUAAGCGCAUACAGCCGCAUGGGUGUAUGCGGAAAGCUCCGGCGGCACGGGAUGGGCCCGCGCCCGAUUAGCCAGUUGGCGGGGUAACGGCCCACCAAAGCGACGAUCGGUAGCCGGCCUGAGAGGGCGGACGGCCACAUUGGGACUGAGACACGGCCCAAACUCCUAUGGGAGGCAGCAGUGGGGAAUAUUGCACAAUGGGGGAAACCCUGAUGCAGCAACGCCGCGUGGGUGAAGGAGCGUUUCGGCGCGUAAAGCCCUGUCAGCGGGGAAGAAGAAAGACGGUACCCGACCAAGAAGCCCCGGCUAACUACGUGCCAGCAGCCGCGGUAAUACGUAGGGGGCGAGCGUUAUCCGGAAUUACUGGGUGUAAAGGGAGCGUAGACGGCGAGGUAAGCCUGAAGUGGAAGCCCGCGGCCCAACCGCGGAACUGCUUUGGGAACUGUUUUGCUGGAGUAUGGGAGGGGUAAGCGGAAUUCCUGGUGUAGCGGUGAAAUGCGUAGAUAUCAGGAGGAACACCGGUGGCGAAGGCGGCUUACUGGACCAUAACUGACGUUGAGGCUCGAA